rnacentral:rRNA from 1 species
UAUCAGUCAUGCAUAGCAUAUCAAUAAGCGGAGGAAAAGAAACUAACAAGGAUUCCCUUAGUAACGGCGAGUGAAGCGGGAAGAGCUCAAAUUUGAAAUCUUCAAGGUUUUACCUUGACGAAUUGUAGUUUAAAGAAGUGUUUUCUGUUGAAGUUUUGGUAAAAGUUCUUUGGAAUAGGACAUCAUAGAGGGUGAGAAUCCCGUAUUUGACCAUUACUUUCAGCUUUGUGAUACACUUUCAAAGAGUCGGAUUGUUUGGGAAUGCAGUCCAAAAUGGGUGGUAAAUUUCAUCUAAAGCUAAAUAUUGGCGAGAGACCGAUAGCGAACAAGUACCGUGAGGGAAAGAUGAAAAGAACUUUGAAAAGAGAGUUAAACAGUACGUGAAAUUGUCAAAAGGGAAGCGUUUGACACCAGUGUUGUUUUCUCGAAAAUCAAUUAAAAAGAGUUGGAUUUUGUGUUGUAUUGACCUUAUCAGCUUUCUUCACUCUUUUCCAGCUUUUUUUAAUGCACUUUUCGUUUAACAAGUCAACAUCAGUUUCUUUUGUUGUAAAAAGGUCAUUGGAAGGUGGCUUUCUCUUCGGAGAAAGUGUUUAUAGCCUUUGACUCAUGCAAUCGGAGAGACUGAGGUCUGCAGCGUAGAUCCUUCGGGGUUAGAUACAUUUGUGCUAAGUUAUAGCUUUUCAUAGACAACUUGUUGACUAUGUUUAGUCUUGUAGCUUACUCGCUUAUGCUAUUUUACCUACGCUUAGGAUGUUGAACUCUAUCACACACAG